rnacentral:rRNA from 1 species
AACGAACGCUGGCGGCGGGCCUCAUACAUGCAAGUCGAGCGCGAAAGUCCGCAAGGAUGAGUAAAGCGGCGCACGGGUGAGUAACACGUGGAUAAUCUACCCCUUGGAUUGGAAUAACCUGUCGAAAGACGGGCUAAUGCCGAGUGAGCUUAUAGUUUCGUGGAGUUACUAUAAGGAAAGAUGGCGCAAGCUAUCGCCGAGGGAUGAGUCUGCGCCCCAUUAGUUAGUUGGUGGGGUAAUGGCUUACCAAGACAAUGAUGGGUACCUGGUUUGAGAGAAUGACCAGGCACACUGGAACUGAAACACGGUCCAGACUCCUACGGGAGGCAGCAGUAGGGAAUAUUGCGCAAUGGACGAAAGUCUGACGCAGCCACGCCGCGUGAGUGAGGAAGGCCUCGGGUUGUAAAGACUCUGUCAACAGGGAAAAACGGACUACCCGGGGAAACGUUCGGGUAGGCGUGAUGGUACCUGUGGA